rnacentral:rRNA from 1 species
AUUGAACGCUGGCGGCAUGCCUUACACAUGCAAGUCGAACGGUAACAGGUCUUCGGAUGCUGACGAGUGGCGAACGGGUGAGUAAUACAUCGGAACGUGCCCGAUCGUGGGGGAUAACGAAGCGAAAGCUUUGCUAAUACCGCAUAAGAUCUACGGAUGAAAGCAGGGGACCGCAAGGCCUUGCGCGGACGGAGCGGCCGAUGGCAGAUUAGGUAGUUGGUGGGAUAAAAGCUUACCAAGCCGACGAUCUGUAGCUGGUCUGAGAGGACGACCAGCCACACUGGGACUGAGACACGGCCCAGACUCCUACGGGAGGCAGCAGUGGGGAAUUUUGGACAAUGGGCGAAAGCCUGAUCCAGCCAUGCCGCGUGCAGGAUGAAGGCCUUCGGGUUGUAAACUGCUUUUGUACGGAACGAAAAGACUCUUUCUAAUAAAGAGGGUCCAUGACGGUACCGUAAGAAUAAGCACCGGCUAACUACGUGCCAGCCGCCGCAGUAAGAC